rnacentral:rRNA from 1 species
AGCGGGUGAAAAGCCCGCUCGCCGGAAGACCAAGGGUUCCUGUCCAACGUUAAUCGGGGCAGGGUGAGUCGACCCCUAAGGCGAGGCCGAAAGGCGUAGUCGAUGGGAAACGGGUUAAUAUUCCCGUACUUGGUGUUACUGCGAAGGGGGGACGGAGAAGGCUAUGUUGGCCGGGCGACGGUUGUCCCGGUUUAAGCGUGUAGGUGUGUGUUCCAGGUAAAUCCGGUUCACUUUAACACUGAGGCGUGAYGACGAGGCACUACGGUGCUGAAGCAACAAAUGCCCUGCUUCCAGGAAAAGCCUCUAAGCAUCAGGUAACAUCAAAUCGUACCCCAAACCGACACAGGUGGUCAGGUAGAGAAUACCAAGGCGCUUGAGAGAACUCGGGUGAAGGAACUAGGCAAAAUGGUGCCGUAACUUCGGGAGAAGGCACGCUGACAYGUAGGUGAAGUGRUUUACUCAYGGAGCUGAAGUCAGUCGAAGAUACCAGCUGGCUGCAACUGUUUAUUAAAAACACAGCACUGUGCAAACACGAAAGUGGACGUAUACGGUGUGACGCCUGCCCGGUGCCGGAAGGUUAAUUGAUGGGGUCAGCGCAAGCGAAGCUCCUGAUCGAAGCCCCGGUAAACGGCGGCCGUAACUAUAACGGUCCUAAGGUAGCGAAAUUCCUUGUCGGGUAAGUUCCGACCUGCACGAAUGGCGUAAUGAUGGCCAGGCUGUCUCCACCCGAGACUCAGUGAAAUUGAACUCGCUGUGAAGAUGCAGUGUACCCGCGGCAAGACGGAAAGACCCCGUGAACCUUUACUAUAGCUUGACACUGAACAUUGAGCCUUGAUGUGUAGGAUAGGUGGGAGGCUUUGAAGUGUGGACGCCAGUCUGCAUGGAGCCGACCUUGAAAUACCACCCUUUAAUGUUUGAUGUUCUAACGUGGACCCGUAAUCCGGGUUGCGGACAGUGUCUGGUGGGUAGUUUGACUGGGGCGGUCUCCUCCUAAAGAGUAACGGAGGAGCACGAAGGUUGGCUAAUCCUGGUCGGACAUCAGGAGGUUAGUGCAAUGGCAUAAGCCAGCUUGACUGCGAGCGUGACGGCGCGAGCAGGUGCGAAAGCAGGUCAUAGUGAUCCGGUGGUUCUGAAUGGAAGGGCCAUCGCUCAACGGAUAAAAGGUACUCCGGGGAUAACAGGCUGAUACCGCCCAAGAGUUCAUAUCGACGGCGGUGUUUGGCACCUCGAUGUCGGCUCAUCACAUCCUGGGGCUGAAGUAGGUCCCAAGGGUAUGGCUGUUCGCCAUUGUGUUCGGGUUGUCAUGCCAAUGGCACUGCCCGGUAGCUAAAUGCGGAAGAGAUAAGUGCUGAAAGCAUCUAAGCACGAAACUUGCCCCGAGAUGAGUUCUCCCUGAGACUUAGAGUCUCCUGAAGGAACGUUGAAGACGACGACGUUGAUAGGCCGGGUGUGUAAGCGCAGCGAUGCGUUGAGCUAACCGGUACUAAUGAACCGUGAGGCUUAACCUU